UAUGAGCUGGGUGUGAUUAUAAUGAGGUUGUAAUGAGCAAUUAGCUAUGAGCUGGGUGUGGAAAUAAUGAGGUCAUAUUGGGCAAUUGUUUGAGCUGGAUGUGGUUAUAAUUAAGUUCAUAUAUAAUUUAUAUUCUAUAUACAUAUAUAUAUAUAUUGGGAAUUUGUAAGAGUUGGGUGUGAUUUGAGGUUAUACUGGGCAGUCAGUAAUGAGCUGAGUGUGGUUUCCAAAGCCCAUUUGCUUGAUGUGUGGGUCAUGAAAACACUUUUAACCUACAUGUGCCAAAUUUGCUCGUUAUUUUAGAUCGAAGUCCUCAGAAAGAAACUUAAGAGGCACAAAAGAAUAGCUGACUCCACCAAGCAGGAGAACAAGGAGCUGAAGGCCUGCACAGCUCAAUGCCUGAGAACUGAAGAGGAAAACAAUGAACUGGAAGAUAUUAUGGAGCUGGUUAAAAAGACCUUUGAAACGAAUAGAAAAAGCCUUGAAGAGAAGCUGGAAAUUACCACCAACCAGCUUCGUGAAAAGGAGCAAGCUCAUCAGCAGAAACUGGCUCAGGAACGAGAACUUCAGGAGAGAGAGACCAAAUUCCAGUCCCAGAUCAGGGCUGGUGAAAUAACCAUUAAGACCAUGUCCACAGAGCAAAAGAGGAAGGAGGAAUGUUACAAGACUCGG